GCCAACGUCCAUACCAUACCACGUUGAAUACACCGGUUCUCGUCCGAUCACCGAAGUUAAGCAACGUCGGGCGAGGUCAGUACUUGGAUGGGUGACCGCCUGGGAACACCUCGUGUCGUUGGCU